rnacentral:rRNA from 1 species
GCAUAAUCAUUUGCCAUUUAAUUGGUGGCUAGAAUAAAUGAAUACACGAAAGUUAAGCUGUCUCAUUUUUAUACAUAAAAAUUGACCCCCUGGUGAAGAGACCAGUAUUAAACAAAAAGACGAAAAGACCCUAUAGAGCUUUACCCUAUAUAUAAUUAUCUUAAAAAGGGUUUAGUUGGGGCAACUAGAGAGAAUCUAAAUCCUCUCUUACAAAAACUUAUACUGAUCCGUUAAUCGACCAGAAGAGAAAGCUACCUUAGGGAUAACAGGCCAAUCCUUUUUGAGAGACCAUAUUGACAAA